AGUGAACGCUGGCGGUAGGCCUAACACAUGCAAGUCGAACGGCAGCACAGUAAGAGCUUGUUCUUACGGGUGGCGAGUGGCGGACGGGUGUGGAAUACAUCGGACUCUACUUUUUCGUGGGGGAUAAAGUAGGGACACUUACGCUAAUACCGCAUACGACCUACGGGUGAAAGCAGGGGAUCUUCGGACCUUGCGCGAUUGUAUGAGCCGAUGUCGGAUUAGCUAGUUGGCGGGGUAAAGGCCCACCAAGGCGACGAUCCGUAGCUGGUCUGAGAGGAUGAUCAGCCACACUGGAACUGAGACACGGUCCAGACUCCUACGGGAGGCAGCAGUGGGGAAUAUUGGACAAUGGGCGCAAGCCUGAUCCAGCCAUACCGCGUGGGUGAAGAAGGCCUUCGGGUUGUAAAGCCCUUUUGUUGGGAAGGAAAAGCAGCAAGUUAAUACCCCGCUGUUCUGACGGUACCCAAAGAAUAAGCACCGGCUAACUUCGUG
rnacentral:rRNA from 1 species